rnacentral:rRNA from 1 species
UACGGGGGGGGCAAGCGUUGUUCGGAAUUACUGGGCGUAAAGGGCUCGUAGGCGGCCAACUAAGUCAGACGUGAAAUCCCUCGGCUUAACCGGGGAACUGCAUCUGAUACUGGAUGGCUUGAGUUCGGGAGAGGGAUGUGGAAUUCCAGGUGUAGCGGUGAAAUGCGUAGAUAUCUGGAGGAACACCGGUGGCGAAGGCGGCACCCUGGACCGACACUGACGCUGAGGAGCGAAAGCCAGGGGAGCAAACGGG